rnacentral:rRNA from 1 species
UUAAGCGACUAAGCGUACACGGUGGAUGCCCUGGCAGUCAGAGGCGAUGAAGGACGUGCUAAUCUGCGAUAAGCGUCGGUGAGGUGAUAUGAACCGUUAUAACCGGCGAUUUCCGAAUGGGGAAACCCAGUGUGUUUCGACACACUAUCAUUAACUGAAUCCAUAGGUUAAUGAGGCGAACCGGGGGAACUGAAACAUCUAAGUACCCCGAGGAAAAGAAAUCAACCGAGAUUCCCCCAGUAGCGGCGAGCGAACGGGGAGGAGCCCAGAGCCUGAAUCAGUGUGUGUGUUAGUGGAAGCGUCUGGAAAGGCGUGCGAUACAGGGUGACAGCCCCGUACACAAAAAUGCACAUAUUGUGAGCUCGAUGAGUAGGGCGGGACACGUGGUAUCCUGUCUGAAUAUGGGGGGACCAUCCUCCAAGGCUAAAUACUCCUGACUGACCGAUAGUGAACCAGUACCGUGAGGGAAAGGCGAAAAGAACCCCGGCGAGGGGAGUGAAAAAGAACCUGAAACCGUGUACGUACAAGCAGUGGGAGCCUCUUAAUGGGGUGACUGCGUACCUUUUGUAUAAUGGGUCAGCGACUUAUAUUCUGUAGCAAGGUUAACCGAAUAGGGGAGCCGAAGGGAAACCGAGUCUUAACUGGGCGUUAAGUUGCAGGGUAUAGACCCGAAACCCGGUGAUCUAGCCAUGGGCAGGUUGAAGGUUGGGUAACACUAACUGGAGGACCGAACCGACUAAUGUUGAAAAAUUAGCGGAUGACUUGUGGCUGGGGGUGAAAGGCCAAUCAAACCGGGAGAUAGCUGGUUCUCCCCGAAAGCUAUUUAGGUAGCGCCUCGUGAAUUCAUCUCCGGGGGUAGAGCACUGUUUCGGCAAGGGGGUCAUCCCGACUUACCAACCCGAUGCAAACUGCGAAUACCGGAGAAUGUUAUCACGGGAGACACACGGCGGGUGCUAACGUCCGUCGUGAAGAGGGAAACAACCCAGACCGCCAGCUAAGGUCCCAAAGUCAUGGUUAAGUGGGAAACGAUGUGGGAAGGCCCAGACAGCCAGGAUGUUGGCUUAGAAGCAGCCAUCAUUUAAAGAAAGCGUAAUAGCUCACUGGUCGAGUCGGCCUGCGCGGAAGAUGUAACGGGGCUAAACCAUGCACCGAAGCUGCGGCAGCGACGCUUAUGCGUUGUUGGGUAGGGGAGCGUUCUGUAAGCCUGUGAAGGUGGCCUGUGAGGGUUGCUGGAGGUAUCAGAAGUGCGAAUGCUGACAUAAGUAACGAUAAAGCGGGUGAAAAGCCCGCUCGCCGGAAGACCAAGGGUUCCUGUCCAACGUUAAUCGGGGCAGGGUGAGUCGACCCCUAAGGCGAGGCCGAAAGGCGUAGUCGAUGGGAAACAGGUUAAUAUUCCUGUACUUGGUGUUACUGCGAAGGGGGGACGGAGAAGGCUAUGUUGGCCGGGCGACGGUUGUCCCGGUUUAAGCGUGUAGGCUGGUUUUCCAGGCAAAUCCGGAAAACCAAGGCUGAGGCGUGAUGACGAGGCACUACGGUGCUGAAGCGACAAAUGCCCUGCUUCCAGGAAAAGCCUCUAAGCAUCAGGUAACAUCAAAUCGUACCCCAAACCGACACAGGUGGUCAGGUAGAGAAUACCAAGGCGCUUGAGAGAACUCGGGUGAAGGAACUAGGCAAAAUGGUGCCGUAACUUCGGGAGAAGGCACGCUGAUAUGUAGGUGAAGCGACUUGCUCGUGGAGCUGAAAUCAGUCGAAGAUACCAGCUGGCUGCAACUGUUUAUUAAAAACACAGCACUGUGCAAACACGAAAGUGGACGUAUACGGUGUGACGCCUGCCCGGUGCCGGAAGGUUAAUUGAUGGGGUUAGCGGUAACGCGAAGCUCUUGAUCGAAGCCCCGGUAAACGGCGGCCGUAACUAUAACGGUCCUAAGGUAGCGAAAUUCCUUGUCGGGUAAGUUCCGACCUGCACGAAUGGCGUAAUGAUGGCCAGGCUGUCUCCACCCGAGACUCAGUGAAAUUGAACUCGCUGUGAAGAUGCAGUGUACCCGCGGCAAGACGGAAAGACCCCGUGAACCUUUACUAUAGCUUGACACUGAACAUUGAGCCUUGAUGUGUAGGAUAGGUGGGAGGCUUUGAAGUGUGGACGCCAGUCUGCAUGGAGCCGACCUUGAAAUACCACCCUUUAAUGUUUGAUGUUCUAACGUUGGCCCGUAAUCCGGGUUGCGGACAGUGUCUGGUGGGUAGUUUGACUGGGGCGGUCUCCUCCUAAAGAGUAACGGAGGAGCACGAAGGUUGGCUAAUCCUGGUCGGACAUCAGGAGGUUAGUGCAAUGGCAUAAGCCAGCUUGACUGCGAGCGUGACGGCGCGAGCAGGUGCGAAAGCAGGUCAUAGUGAUCCGGUGGUUCUGAAUGGAAGGGCCAUCGCUCAACGGAUAAAAGGUACUCCGGGGAUAACAGGCUGAUACCGCCCAAGAGUUCAUAUCGACGGCGGUGUUUGGCACCUCGAUGUCGGCUCAUCACAUCCUGGGGCUGAAGUAGGUCCCAAGGGUAUGGCUGUUCGCCAUUUAAAGUGGUACGCGAGCUGGGUUUAGAACGUCGUGAGACAGUUCGGUCCCUAUCUGCCGUGGGCGCUGGAGAACUGAGGGGGGCUGCUCCUAGUACGAGAGGACCGGAGUGGACGCAUCACUGGUGUUCGGGUUGUCAUGCCAAUGGCACUGCCCGGUAGCUAAAUGCGGAAGAGAUAAGUGCUGAAAGCAUCUAAGCACGAAACUUGCCCCGAGAUGAGUUCUCCCUGAGACUUAGAGUCUCCUGAAGGAACGUUGAAGACGACGACGUUGAUAGGCCGGGUGUGUAAGCGCAGCGAUGCGUUGAGCUAACCGGUACUAAUGAACCGUGAGGCUUAACCU